rnacentral:rRNA from 1 species
AUUGAACGCUGGCGGCAUGCCUUACACAUGCAAGUCGAACGGUAACAGGUCUUCGGAUGCUGACGAGUGGCGAACGGGUGAGUAAUACAUCGGAACGUGCCUAGUAGUGGGGGAUAACUACUCGAGAGAGUGGCUAACACCGCAUGAGAUCUACGGAUGAAAGCAGGGGAUAGCAAGACCUUGUGCUACUAGAGCGGCCGAUGGCAGAUUAGGUAGUUGGUGGGAUAAAAGCUUACCAAGCCGACGAUCUGUAGCUGGUCUGAGAGGACGAUCAGCCACACUGGGACUGAGACACGGCCCAGACUCCUACGGGAGGCAGCAGUGGGGAAUUUUGGACAAUGGGCGAAAGCCUGAUCCAGCAAUGCCGCGUGCAGGAUGAAGGCCUUCGGGUUGUAAACUGCUUUUGUACGGAACGAAAAGCUCUGGGUUAAUACCCUGGGGUCAUGACGGUACCGUAAGAAUAAGCACCGGCUAACUACGUGCCAGCCGCCGCCGUAACAC